AGCGCAGGAACUAUUUCGUCAGAUACAUUGAUUGUCGACGAGGACUAUAAGCUACGUGUGAGCGAGAUGUGGAAAGAAAAUGAACGCUGCUCUUACUGUUGACGCUUGGAGUGCAAAUCCACCAGUAUACAAUUAAGACCUGGGAUCAGCGAACAUUUCCUGCAAGCAUUGAUCCAGCAGAUUGCAGUUUUGGCUCAGACCACGGGUUUCCGUGGACACGAGACACGACGCUUCCUUUGCCUCUGCCUCAGCAUGAUUGAAAGGAAAUGAAAAAUCUAUUCACCCUCAUUACAUUCGUUUAAAGGCACCUAAUGUGUAAAACUUGUCAUUCUUGCUGUCCUCCAAGUUGACGAUGACUGCUUUCAACGGAGGACACAAUGCAUUUCCAGAGCAGAGCCGUAGGAGCUUACAACCUCAUAAAAUACUGCAAAGCAUGCACCCACACACAUACACACACACACG